UCUUGACUAAGCCAAGACAGCUCACUAUUG
rnacentral:piRNA from 1 species